AUUGAACGCUGGCGGCAGGCCUAACACAUGCAAGUCGAGCGAGCGGCGGACGGGUGCGUAAUGUCUGGGAAACUGCCUGAUAGAGGGGGAUAACUACUGGAAACGGUAGCUAAUACCGCAUACCAUCAGAGGAGCCCAGAUGGGAUUAGCUAGUAGGUGGGGAAAUGGCUCACCGAGGCGACGAUCCCUAGAUGGGCUGAGAGGAUGACCAGCCACCAUUGAACUGAGACACGGUCCAGAGUCCUACGUGAGGCAGCAGUGGGGAAUAUUGCACAAUGGGCGCAAGCCUGAUGCAGCCAUGCCGCGUGUGUGAAGAAGGCCUUCGGGUUGUAAAGCACUUUCAGCGGGGAGGCGUUACCCGCAGAAGAAGCACCGGCUAACUCCGUGCCAGCAGCCGCGGUAAUUC
rnacentral:rRNA from 1 species